CUUUAAAAAAUAUAUUGUAUAUUAUAGGCAUAGACCUAGUCGUAGGUAGCAAUUCUACGGCACUAUGAAAAUUAUUUGACAUUUGACAAAAAACACCGAAUUUUCAUAAACUUCAAUCUCUUAUAUCUUUUUGUUUAGUUAUGCAAGCAUUAUGCUUCAAUGGCUUCACUUAAAUAUUAUCAAUAUCUUGAGACCACUUUUAUUUAAAAAGUUGCCACGGACACAUUUUUUCAAGAGUAGCUUUUAAAGAUGUUGUCAAUAGUUCACAUCAACAAUUUCAAAGAGCAGAGUUUCUGCUGUUACACCUGCUAUUGCUGUUGUAAGUACUCCAAGUUUUAGGAAGUUCUAUUGCUG